rfam:Arabis alpina cultivar Pajares chromosome 1, whole genome shotgun sequence.
UGGCCGAGUGGUCUAAAGCGCCAGACUCAAGUUCUGGUCUUCGAAAGAGGGCGUGGGUUAAAAUCCCAC